rnacentral:rRNA from 1 species
UACGUAGGGUCCGAGCGUUGUCCGGAAUUACUGGGCGUAAAGAGCUCGUAGGUGGUUUGUCGCGUUGUUUCGUGAAAACCCACAGCUCAACUGUGGGCGUGCGAGCGAUACGGGCAGACUAGAGUACUGCAGGGGAGACUGGAAUUCCUGGUGUAGCGGUGGAAUGCGCAGAUAUCAGGAGGAACACCGGUGGCGAAGGCGGGUCUCUGGGCAGUAACUGACGCUGAGGAGCGAAAGCCGUGGGGAGCGAACAGG